AUCUCCAGCUGGUUUUAUUAGUUUAGCAAGCACAAAAAAUUGCCAUAAAUGCGCAUGUGACGGUGAAUCAAACAUGAAUGUAACAGGAAGCAGUGCUGUUUUAAUGAUGUUUUGGAGAGCUUGUUUUAUAGAGCUCGCUGAUCCAGAUGAUCCUGUUAAGCAGAUAACAUUUAUUAACAACAGUAACAAUAAAAAAAUGUGAAAGGGAUGGACACCUAAUAUUUGAUCAUAUUAUGAACAAUCAAGAAAACAGCGUUGUUUGUAUAAUCCCUAAACUAUUAGUUAGGGAGAUAAAAAAUUCCGCAACACAACAGGCAAGUCAGUGUUUAAGUGUUAGGUACAUUGUAAAUGAAAUGUUGCUCAAAAUAGAGUAAAGAUUUAUGUUUAACUCACUCAGUCUUGGGAGCGGGGCCUGACUGCAGAGCCAGCUCCUCCGGGAAAACCACUUAAAGUGCCUUUAAAUAGGGCUGUUUUGCUCUUUUGGUGGCUAAAAUCCUGUACCUACUCCCGGGGAGCACACUGCUAUCUAUCUGGGUCAUCUCAGCCUGAAUCCUGUGGACACAGCCCACGUAAAGCUCCUCUGAGACCUGCAGCUACACUCGAUGCCGGGGAGGCAGACAAUCCUCAGCCUUGAUCUGCAGCCUACUAAUCCCGAAUCCUGUUCCCCCCCUUUGGACUGGUGGGGGAUAUCCCAGUCCCAUACUAGUGGCCACCCCGAGGCAACCUCAAACUACCUGGUGGUUUGGAAGGUAGAGGCUUAACUAUGAAAAUGGCUGUCCCACUGGGGCCAGCAAUCAUGGACACCAUACCAUGCUUGCUUCCACAUGUGGAUCUGUUCCUCCUAAAAUUUGGCCGCACUUGCGAGCGGUUUUGGGCAAAAUUCCGAAACAGGAGACCUACCUCCACUUCAUCUGGCCUAGCCGCCUCCAUCCAGAGCUAUCCUGUGAGCUGUCGCCGCCUGCCUCAGCGCUUUCGGUUCCCAGCAAAGCCUGCUUAAAUAAAGCAUUUGCACAUCGGACCACAGGAGGUGCAAGGCUGAGGUGCUGCGACAUCUAACCUCACUUACUGCUGUAAUUAAAAUCACACUAGACUUCAUGGCUUACAGGCUCGGUCAGAGAAACCUCUCGGAAUUGGCUGACGGGCUGGC